rnacentral:rRNA from 1 species
UACGAAGGGGGCUAGCGUUGCUCGGAAUUACUGGGCGUAAAGCGCACGUAGGCGGAUUGUUAAGUCAGGGGUGAAAUCCCAGGGCUUAACCCUGGAACUGCCUUUGAUACUGUCGAUCUAGAGUCCGGAAGAGGUGAGUGGAAUUCCGAGUGUAGAGGUGAAAUUCGUAGAUAUUCGGAAGAACACCAGUGGCGAAGGCGGCUCACUGGUCCGGUACUGACGCUGAGGUGCGAAAGCGAGGGGAGCAAACAGG